rnacentral:lncRNA from 1 species
CGGUCUUCAGGAUGCAGCUGCGCUUGGGAGGCAAAGCCCUUCGCAGCUCUUACUGUUUCUCACUUCUGACUCCAUACCUAAAAAAUGUGCAUGCCUGAACCUCCACCGGUGAGGCUCAACUAGGAACAUCGUAUGAGUGGCUCCACCCAGAACAGGACGUCCUCCACAGCGUCUCCAGUGCCAGAGCUGGAGGGCCCCUUUGGGCACUGCCAUCAUCUUGGAAUUCAAAUUUGAUGGUUCAGGGAGUUCCCGUCGUGGCUCAGUGGUUAACGGAUCCGACUAGGAACCAUGAGGUUGUGGGUUCGAUCCCUGGCCUUGCUCAGUGGGCUAAGGAUCUGGCGUUGCCGUGAGCUGUGGUGUAGGUUGCAGACGCGGCUCGGAUCCUGCGUUGCUGUGGCUGUGGUGUAGGCUGGCAGCUACAACUCUGAUUAGACCCCUAGCCUGGGAACCUCCAUAUGCCUCGGGAGCGGCCCCAGAAAAGGCAAUAAGACAAAAAAAAACAAACAACCAAAUUUGAUUGUUCACACAUCAUCCAUAAAAAACGUUGAGCAGGCAUCCCUGGUACCUACUUGUUCGUAAAUCACAUACAUAGAACUUAAUGAAUCAUAUACAUGAACUAUAUACAUGAAUAUACAUUAGCAGGUACAUUACAAAAACAUAGAUAUUAUCAAAUAUGUAUGCUAGACAUAAAUGAAUAAACUGUACAUUAUGUAUAUUCUUAUAUUAUGCAAUUAUAAAACAAGAUAACUAGGAGAUCCUGCUGUGGUACAACGGGAUCCACAGCAUCUCUGGAUUGCUGGGGGCAUGGUUUGAUCCCCAGCCUUGCCUAGUGGGUUGGGGAUCCGGUGUUGCUGUAGCUGCGGGGUGGGUUGCAAUUGUGGCUUGGCCAGAGAACUCCAUGUGCCUCGGGGUGGCCAAAAAAGAAGAAAAGAAAAAAAAAAAAAGAAAGAAAGAAAAGAACAAAAACCCUUGAUAACUAGAAAUGAAAGAUAUAGUAAAUAAAAACAGUUUUGGGAGUUUCUGUUGAAGCUCAGCAGGUUAAGAACCCAACUAGGAACCAUGAGGUUACAGGUUCGAUCCCUGGCCUUGCUCAGUGGGUUCAGGAUCUGGCAUUGCCAUGAGCUGUGGUGUAGGUUGCAGAUGCAGCUCAGAUCCCGAGUUGCUGUGGUUGUGGUGUAGGCCAGCAGCUGCAGCUCUGAUUCGACUCCUCGCCUGGGAACGUCUCUAUGCCGUAGGUGCAGCCAUUAAAACAAAGCAGUUUUAAAGUAAUUUUUAUGGCCUUUCAUUUAAUAGUGGCAUAAGGCCUCCUUUCACUCUCAUAUGAGCUUACUCUCAUAAUUGAAUAGCCUUAUUAGUUAUUGAAAAAUCCUGGUUUAACACUUUGCGGGACAGCGACCGGAACGUCUGGUACCAAAUUCAGUUUAUUUCAAUGUUCAGUUUUAAAGGCUGUCACAGCUGAAAAGGAGGCCUUGCGAAGACACCUAGAUCCAGACGGAUGAGGUGCAUUGUGGGCUCUGCUCAUUAAACCAUGACAUUCAGUUUUCAGUUUUCAGUGCCAUCCACCAAUUAUGCAAAGGUUUUGUUCAAAAAUUGACUUUCAAAUUUCCAUCUUCCCUCACGUCAAUCAGUUCUUCUUGCAAAGAAAUUGGAAUAUGUUGCAUUUUAAUACUUUCAGCAAAUGGAUUUUAAACCCACUCAAACUCUUCAUUUGGAAGAUUGUUAAGCAAGUUAAAAAUUCCUUUUUGUUUUCUUUGAAGGGUAGAUAUGAAAGCUCUUGGGAACACACAAGAUUUUCAGCAAUAAAAUCAUAUAACAAUGGGAACACUUUCAAACUUUAUUUCUAAAUGCUCUCGCAUACGAUAUUCCUUCCAAAAAAAUUCCCUCCUUAACAACUUUUUCAACUUCACCUUUAUCCUGAUGAAAAGAGGCUUCACUUUUGGAAAUCUCUGCUGUAGCACUCAACAGGCAAAUUUUGUUUUUCCUUUCUGAAAUGUCAGAUGAAAUCAUGUCCCAGGAUUAGGGAGAAGUGCUGCUAUUUUCUUGCCAUUUCUUUGCAGAAAUCUUUUUAGGCCAGUUGUCCUUUUUUAUUUUUUUUUGUCUUUUGUCUUUUUAGGCCCGCACCCGCAGCAUAUGGAGGUUCCCAGACUAGGGCUUGAAUUGGAGCUGUUGUUGCCAGCCUAAGCCAGAGCCAUGGCAAUGCCAGAUCCGAGCUGCAUCUGCGACCUACACCAUGGCUCAUGACAACACUGGAUCCUUAACCCACUGAGCAAGGCCAGGGAUCAAACCUAUAACCUUAUGGUUCCUAGUCGGAUGCGUUAACCGCUGUGCCAUGACGGGAACUCCCCCAGUUGUCCUUUUUUUAAGGCAGGUUGAUUUAGUUUGAAUCAAAUAUUACAACCUGUGAAUUCCACUGAACUGGCAUAGAUAAAUGGCAAGGAUGGAGCUCCCACUGUGGCUCAGCAGGUUAAGAAACCACGUAGUGUCCAUGAGGGUGUGGGUUUUACCCCUGGCCUCACUCAGUGCAUUAAGGACCCGGCAUUGAAUGGCUGAGGCGUAGGCCAGUAGCUGUGGCUCCGAUUUGACCCCUGGCCCCGGGGACUUCCGUAUGCUGCAGAUGCAGCCAUAAAACAAAAAUAAAGAAAUGGUGGAGUUCCCGUCGUGGCUCAGUGGUUAAUGAAUCUGACUAAGAACCAAGAGGUUGUGGGUUCAAUCCCUGGCCUCGCUCAGUGGGUUAAGGAUCCAGUGUUGCCAUGAGCUGUGGUGUAGGUCACAGAUGCAGCUUGGGUCUGGUGUUGCUGUGGCUGUGGUGCAGGCCGACAGCUACAGCUGUGAGUCAACCCCUAGCCUGGAAACCUCCAUAUGCCGUGAAUGUGGCCCUAAAAAGCAAAAAAAAAAAAGGACAGACAGAGCCUUCAUCACUGUGACCACGGCUAGGUCAUGAUGUGCUUUCUCUGGACCAAAUAAUUUGUCCUUGGCUUUGGGACAUAAUUUGGUGAUUCUUAUACCUCUGUGUUAAAUCUGAAAAGAAAAUCAGCCAUGUGUAUCCAAACACAGACAUGCUGGGGGCUCUGCUCUGCUAGCCUUGGGCCUCUCCCUGGGGGAGGGAGGUGUGGGGCCACGCCUAGGAGCAUUGGAACUUGUGCUCUACCCCGACCAGGGCAGCAAUGAUCCAAGCUGCUGAGCCGUCUCUCUGGGGCCUGGCCUGGAGAAAGGGGCCCUGGCCAGCUUGGCCAGCUCGGGGUAGGAGGACAGUGCUGGGUGAGAUUCUGCAUAGCUCUUGGCCUAAGGUGAGCUCAUCAGAUGAGCAAGACCUCCUGCUGAACCAAGUGGGAGUGGGGACGGGGCAGGGGGAGUGAGAGGAAUCUGUGUUCUCACAGCUCCCCGGCCCUCGCCGGCACACCCACCCCCGUCUUCGCUUCUUGAGCUUCCCUCUGUCUGGAUGGCACCAGACUGCCCUUUGCACACAGCACCUGUGGAGCCACAUGUGUCCAAAGUGUAUGGCAUUCGUGGCAGUUCUUCAGAUCCAGAUUCCAUCUCCUCCUGGGCAGAUAGAGAGACUACAUUUCCCAGCCUCCCCUGCGGUCAGAGGGAACCAGGGGCUGAGCCUCCAUCAGGACUGCAGGUACAAUCCCUGCCCUCACUCAGUGGGUUAAGGAUCUGGUGUUGCUGUGAGCUGUGGUAUAGGUCGCAGAUGCGGCUUGGAUCCUGCGUGGCUGUGGCUGUGGUGUAGGCUGACAGCUGGAGUUCUGAUUUGGCUCCUAGACUGACACCCCAUAGGCCGCAGAUGCGGCUGAAACCCCAGUAUUGCUGUGGCUGUGGUGUAGGCCUCAGCUACAGCUCCCAUUCAGCCCCUAGCCUGGGAACUUCCAUAUGCUGCAGGUGCAACCCUAAAAAGCAAAGGAAAAAACAAAAAAGUUUAGUUUCUGGAGUUAGGCUCCCUGUUUCCCCCAUAGAUGGGCCACAUCACUCAUGUGGGAAAAUGGAUUCACCUUUCUGAGUCUCAACUUCUCUACCUGUAAACGUGUAUGCAUCACAGGGUGUUUGGAAGGUGUCUACACUGACAGGAACACCAGGUUCAUUGGCUCUGCUGGACUACGGGAGACCCCCCGAGGCAAGGACGGCAUUGGAUUCAUGUCCCUGGGUCCCUGCUGGGCCUGGCAGUGUCCAACACCUGGUGGCCGCUGCCCAGGUUGCUCCUGGUCAGGUGGUGGAGAGGACUCAGAGCCCUCAGCUGUACCCCGAGGCAGGCUGAGACGCAGAAGGAAAGUGAUGUCUGGGAGAGAUUAAUCUUGUCUGGGGCUCAGGUUGAAGACUUCCUGGAGGAGGCGGCAUUUCAGCAGGUCCUUGAAGGAGAAAGGGUAGCGUUUGGACUGCAUACGUGGGACGGGCUUGCUCUAGGUUAAGCCAAGUCCCCCUGGGUUAAAUCCUGAGGUAGAAAGAGCUGGGCACGCUUGGCUAGAGCAGGCCCCCCCCUAACAUUUUCAAGGCCUGUGGGCGGAUUUCAAAAGGAGGCAGAAGGGAGUUUCCUGGUGGCUCAGUGAGGUCAAGACCUGGUGUUGUCACUACUGUGGCUCGGGUCACUGCUGUGGUGUGGGUUUGAUCCCUGGCCUGGGAACUUC